CAAAGUUAAAUCUAGUAUAGUGCAUACCAUCGUACUGCAUUAUCCCAAACUCUUCCUGAACCGGCUAAAGCGCGCGGGGCUCCCUAGGCAGUCAUCAUCGCAGACGUAACGACCGUCCCACAUACGUUUGUGCAAGCGUGCUGUGGGCACAGCAAGAAUAAACACAUGGGAUGGAUGACACAGUAAUAAGGCUGAGUUGCUGCGGUUCUUGGUAGUGUAUCGAUGGUGCAUGCGUGGAGUAUGUAGAGCAAAAGGAUCACUAUGCGAUAUUUCCUUGGUAUAAACGCUGACACGGGAUUUUUUAAAAAGCAUUUUUUUUUCGAUCGUUUACGUUUCCUUUAUUUUUUUUAUUGGAAUCCACUGUGCAAUAUGCUCGUUGAACCAUUCAGAAAAGAGAUGCUCUUUAUGCAUUCAACACAAUUGACCUUGCUAUAAGAAUAUCCAGCAGACGCUCUUACUUUGAAUGCUCAAGUGUGUGUGCUGCGGUCUACCUUUGUGUACAGUAGUUUCAACGUUAAAGGACAAGUGAUUAGCUAUGGGAGCUUAUCGCAUAUUAUAAAAAUGCAUUGGAAUUUGGGAAUACACACCCAACUUUGUGUACCCACUACACCUUGCAGUGGAUGAUGAUUUUUUUGUCAACAUCGUGUGAUGCCGGACCAGACAAAACUUUUGACGCAUACAGAUCGACCAGCAAAAGCGGAAAUUGCCUGUUAAAAAGCACCGAAUGACAAAGUUUGAAUAAACGACGCCAGGACAUUGAUGGACGAGUCCCUUUUUCUAUGAAAAGGAAAGCGAAAUAAACCGAUUCCUCACUUGCUGAUUGUACUCAAUUAAACGAGGCUUUUACAUUAUCAACAAAGGGAAACAAAAUAAGAAUUGAGAAAGAAAAAGAAGUCCCCUGAUUCAUUAGAAAUGACCCCUGAUCCCUUGGCUCGGUUUUCGAACAAGAGAAUAGAUACAUGUUAUGCUUAUUUGAAAUGCUU